AACAGGAUUAGAUACCCUGGUAGUCCACGCUGUAAACGAUGUCGACUUGGAGGUUGUGCCCUUGAGGCGUGGCUUCCGGAGCUAACGCGUUAAGUCGACCGCCCGGGGAGUACGGCCGCAAGGUUAAAACUCAAAUGAAUUGACGGGGGCCCGCACAAGCGGUGGAGCAUGUGGUUUAAUUCGAUGCAACGCGAAGAACCUUACCUACUCUUGACAUCCAGAGAAUUUGCUAGAGAUAGCUUAGUGCCUUCGGGAACUCUGAGACAGGUGCUGCAUGGCUGUCGUCAGCUCGUGUUGUGAAAUGUUGGGUUAAGUCCCGCAACGAGCGCAACCCUUAUCCUUUGUUGCCAGCACGUAAUGGUGGGAACUCAAAGGAGACUGCCGGUGAUAAACCGGAGGAAGGUGGGGAUGACGUCAAGUCAUCAUGGCCCUUACGAGUAGGGCUACACACGUGCUACAAUGGCAUAUGCAAAGAGAAGCGAACUCGCGAGAGCAAGCGGACCUCAUAAAGUAUGUCGUAGUCCGGAUCGGAGUCUGCAACUCGACUCCAUGAAGUCGGAAUCGCUAGUAAUCGUAGAUCAGAAUGCUACGGUGAAUACGUUCCCGGGCCUUGUACACACCGCCCGUCACACCAUGGGAGUGGGUUGCAAAAGAAGUAGGUAGCUUAACCUUCGGGAGGGCGCUUACCACUUUGUGAUUCAUGACUGGGGUGAAGUCGUAACGAGGUAACC
rnacentral:rRNA from 1 species